UACUCGUUUGUUUUGUUUGCUACGCCGGAAAAUUUUCACCUCAGCCUCGCUCGCCGCGAUCGAUUUUCUUUUAGGAAAUCGAGGAGAUGCAAUCGGCACGACGGUACCGGGACAUUAUAGGAAUUAAAAUUCCAAUGACAUUGUACCAGGUAGCGCUGCCGGAACCCCCAGUUUUACUCCGCGCAUGGAUUGCUUGCCCCGGAAAGUGCUGCUGAGCGAAAUGAGGAGGAGGAUGCAGCAUAAGAAUGUAAAUCUUGGGCAAGUUAGUUUGUGAUAUUAAUAAGUGAUUCAAUAAAUUAAUGAAAUUGAAA